rnacentral:rRNA from 1 species
AGAGUUUGAUCCUGGCUCAGGACGAACGCUGGCGGCGUGCUUAACACAUGCAAGUCGAGCGAUGAAGUUCCUUCGGGAAUGGAUUAGCGGCGGACGGGNNNNNNNNNNNNNNNNNNNNNNNNNNNNNNNNNNNNNNNNNNNNNNNNNNNNNNNNNNNNNNNNNNNNNNNAUUGUAGUUUCGCAGGAAACAGCAAUUAAAGGAGUAAUCCGCUAUGAGAUGGACCCGCGUCGCAUUAGCUAGUUGGUGAGGUAACGGCUCACCAAGGCGACGAUGCGUAGCCGACCUGAGAGGGUGAUCGGCCACAUUGGGACUGAGACACGGCCCAGACUCCUACGGGAGGCAGCAGUGGGGAAUAUUGCACAAUGGGGGAAACCCUGAUGCAGCAACGCCGCGUGAGUGAUGACGGUCUUCGGAUUGUAAAACUCUGUCUUCAGGGACGAUAAUGACGGUACCUGAGGAGGAAGCCACGGCUAACUACGUGCCAGCAGCCGCGGUAAUACGUAGGUGGCAAGCGUUGUCCGGAUUUACUGGGCGUAAAGGGAGCGUAGGUGGAUAUUUAAGUGGGAUGUGAAAUACUCGGGCUUAACCUGAGUGCUGCAUUCCAAACUGGAUAUCUAGAGUGCAGGAGAGGAAAGUAGAAUUCCUAGUGUAGCGGUGAAAUGCGUAGAGAUUAGGAAGAAUACCAGUGGCGAAGGCGACUUUCUGGACCGAUAUUGACGCUGAGACGCGAAAGCGUGGGGAGCAAACAGGAUUAGAUACCCUGGUAGUCCACGCCGUAAACGAUGAGAACUAGGUGUUGCGGGUAUCGACCCCUUCUGUGCCGCAGUUAACACAAUAAGCACUCCGCGCCUGGGGAGUACGGUCGCAAGACUGAAACUCAAAGGAAUUGACGGGGGCCCGCACAAGCAGCGGAGCAUGUGGUUUAAUUCGACGCAACGCGAAGAACCUUACCAGGACUUGACAUCCCUCGCAAUCUGCGGAAACGUGGAGUUCCCUUCGGGGACGAGGAGACAGGUGGUGCACGGUUGUCGUCAGCUCGUGUCGUGAGAUGUUGGGUUAAGUCCCGCAACGAGCGCAACCCUUGUCCUUAGUUGCCAGCAUGAAAGAUGGGCACUCUAGGGAGACUGCCGGAGAUAAUUCGGAGGAAGGUGGGGAUGACGUCAAAUCAUCAUGCCCCUUAUGUCCUGGGCUACACAACGUGCUACAAUGGGCUGAACAGAGGGAAGCGAGACCGCGAGGUGGAGCCAAUCCCAUAAAACAGCUCUCAGUUCAGAUCGUAGGCUGCAACUCGCCUACGUGAAGAUGGAGUUGCUAGUAAUCGCGGAUCAGCAUGCCGCGGUGAAUGCGUUCCCGGGCCUUGUACACACCGCCCGUCACACCACGAAAGUCAGCAACACCCAACGUCGGUGAGCUAACCGCAAGGAAGCAGCCGCCUAAGGUGGGGUCGAUGAUUGGGGUGAAGUCGUAACAAGGUAACC